GGCCUUGUAGUCUAGAGGUACGAUACUUGCUUUGGGUACUUCACAAUUGCAAGUGGCCUGGGUUCGAUUCCCAGCAAGGCCC